AUGCCCUACGGGGGGCAGCAGUGGGGAAUAUUGGGCAAUGGGCGCAAGCCUGACCCAGCAACGCCGCGUGAAGGAAGAAGGCUUUCGGGUUGUAAACUUCUUUUAAGAGGGACGAAGAAAGUGACGGUACCUCUUGAAUAAGCCACGGCUAACUACGUGCCAGCAGCCGCGGUAAUACGUAGGUGGCAAGCGUUAUCCGGAUUUAUUGGGUGUAAAGGGCGUGUAGGCGGGAAUGCAAGUCAGAUGUGAAAACUAUG
rnacentral:rRNA from 1 species